AUGAAGUUCACAUAUGUGUUAGCUGGUUGGGAAGGAUCAACCCAUGAUGUUGACAUUCUAUCUGGCAGCAUAACCCGACCUGAUGGCAUCAAUGUCCCCGAUGGUAAGUUCUACGUGGGAGAUACUGGCUAUGCAUGUCGGCCUUGUGUUCUUCUACCCAUCCGGAAAAUGUACCAUCUGAACGAGUUCUUUGGUAGGAACUAUCGUAGGACUGCAUAUGAAUUGUCUAACCUUAGACACUCUAGCUUUAGAGUUAUGGCUGAGAGGACAUUUGGAGCUCUAAAGAGUAGAUUUAAGAUCAUGGAUUAGAAGCCAUUCCACUUUCCCACCCAGGAUAAACUUGUUCUUGCAUGUUGCAUCCUUCAUAACUUGAUACUACAACGGGGUUGCGAUAAUUUUGUGCCAGAGGAGGAAGAUGUGACCGCUGAUGACGUUGAUAGCUUUGAUCAUGGUGUGGAUGCAUUUGACAAUGAGGCCUGGAAGAACAAAUGGUUGGAGUGGGCUGAGGCUAUGUGGGAAAACAGAGUCAGCGGCGGCAGAAGAAGAAAAAGCAGCAGAAGAAGAUGA
rnacentral:rRNA from 1 species